GACGAACGCUGGCGGCGUGCCUAACACAUGCGAGUCGAACGAAGAGCGACGGAAGCUUGCUUCUAUCAAUCUUAGUGGCGAACGGGUGAGUAACGCGUAAUCAACCUGCCCUUCAGAGGGGGACAACAGUUGGAAACGACUGCUAAUACCGCAUACGAUCUAACCUCGGCAUCGAGGAUAGAUGAAAGGUGGCCUCUACAUGUAAGCUAUCACUGAAGGAGGGGAUUGCGUCUGAUUAGCUAGUUGGAGGGGUAACGGCCCACCAAGGCGAUGAUCAGUAGCCGGUCUGAGAGGAUGAACGGCCACAUUGGGACUGAGACACGGCCCAGACUCCUACGGGAGGCAGCAGUGGGGAAUCUUCCGCAAUGGACGAAAGUCUGACGGAGCAACGCCGCGUGAGUGAUGACGGCCUUCGGGUUGUAAAGCUCUGUUAAUCGGGACGAAAGGCCUUCUUGCGAAUAGUGAGAAGGAUUGACGGUACCGGAAUAGAAAGCCACGGCUAACUACGUG
rnacentral:rRNA from 1 species